AUCCUAAGGCCGGCGGAAGAAGCAUUGUCAAGGAACUCGGCAAAAUGGCCCCGUAACUUAGGGAUAAGGGGUGCCUGGGAAACCAGGCCGCAGAGAAUAGGCUCAAGCAACUGUUUAGCAAAAACACAGGUCUAUGCGAAACCGAAAGGUGAGGUAUAUGGGCUGACGCCUGCCCGGUGCUGGAAGGUUAAGAGGAGAGGUUAGCGGUAACGCGAAGCUUUGAAUUUAAGCCCCAGUAAACGGCGGCCGUAACGAUAACGGUCCUAAGGUAGCGAAAUUCCUUGUCGGGUAAGUUCCGACCCGCACGAAAGGCGUAAUGAUUUGAGCGCUGUCUCGACAAUGCAUCCGGUGAAAUUGAAGUACCAGUGAAGAUGCUGGUUACCUGCGCCAGGACGGAAAGACCCCAUGGAGCUUUACUCCAGUCUGGUACUGGGACUCGGUAUUGCAUGUACAGGAUAGGUGGGAGGCUAGGAGAUGGUAACGCCAGUUGCCAUGGAGCCGCUGUUGGGAUACCACCCUUGCAGUAUUGGGUUUCUAACCAGCCGCCGUGACCCGGCGGUGGGACAAUGCCAGACGGGGAGUUUGACUGGGGCGGUCGCCUCCGAAAGGGUAUCGGAGGCGCCCAAAGGUUCCCUCAGAAUGGACGGAAACCAUUCGAAGAGUGCAAAGGCAGAAGGGAGCUUGACUGCGACACCGACGGGUGGAGCAGGUACGAAAGUAGGGCUUAGUGAUCCGGUGGUAUUAAGUGGGAAUGCCAUCGCUCAACGGAUAAAAGCUACCCUGGGAUAACAGGCUUAUCACUCCCAAGAGUUCACAUCGACGGAGUGGUUUGGCACCUCGAUGUCGGCUCAUCGCAUCCUGGGGCUGUAGUAGGUCCCAAGGGUUGGGCUGUUCGCCCAUUAAAGCGGUACGCGAGCUGGGUUCAGAACGUCGUGAGACAGUUCGGUCCCUAUCCGGCGUGGGCGUAGGAUAUCUGAGAGGAGCUGUCCUUAGUACGAGAGGACCGGGAUGGACGGGCCGCUGGUGCAUCGGUUAGACUGCCAAGUCUACGGCCGAGUAGCCAAGCCCGGAAGGGAUAAACGCUAAAGGCAUCUAAGCGUGAAGCCCCCCUUAAGAUGAGAUAUCCCAUUCGAAAGAAGUAAACCCCCUUGAAGACGACGAGGUAGAUAGGGCAGAGGUGGAAGUGCAGCAAUGCAUGGAGCUGACUGUUACUAAUCGGGUGAGGGCUUGAUC
rnacentral:rRNA from 1 species